UACGGGGGGAGCAAGCGUUGUUCGGAUUUACUGGGCGUAAAGGGCGCGUAGGCGGCCACCGCAAGUCGACUGUGAAAUCUCCGGGCUUAACUCGGAAAGGUCAACUGAUACUGCGGGGCUAGAGUGCGGAAGGGGCAACUGGAAUUUACGGUGUAGCGGUGAAAUGCGUAGAUAUCGUAAGGAAGACCAGUGGCGAAGGCGGGUCUCUGGACAGUUCCCGACGCUGAGGCACGAAGGCCAGGGGAGCAAACGGG
rnacentral:rRNA from 1 species